UUGAAAUGGAAAAUGAUCCAAGACUCACAACAUAUUUGGAGGAUGCCCAGAAAAGGAAAGAACAGGAACAAGCCGACUAUGUGCAAAAAAUAACUUCAUUUAGAGAAGAAGCUCAACAAACACUGGCCAAAAGAAAGGUUGAGAGAUUAAAG